rnacentral:lncRNA from 1 species
AAGAUUCUGGAUUUAGUUACAAUUGUAGUAACAUUAUAUAUAAAGUACCCAUUUUCCUAGAGACUCUCCCAGAAUAUUCUAUACAGCUAGCCACUGUGCAGUUUGGCAGUUCCUAAAAAAUUAAACAGAUGACCCAGCAUUUCCGCUUCUAGGUAUAUGCCCAAGAAAAAAUUCCAGUUUUAGUAUACUUGCUGCCGAAGCAAGCACUAAUUCUCAAAGAGUUCAUUUUCACAUGGGUAAUGAAAACCUUUUUCUGCUCCUUUACUAUUAGCAAUCAUUCCUAUUGCUUAUUCUAAAUUAAGCCUUUAUUGGCCAGGCAUAGUGGCUCACGCUAUAAUCCUAGCACUUUGGAAGGCCGAGGUGGAAUAAUCCCUUGAGCCUAGGAGUUUGAGACUAGCCUGGGCAACAUAGUAAGACCCCGGUCUCCAUAAAUAAUAAAAAA